AGUCCUGGUGCGCUUGCUGCAGUGGAACAACGCCAAUCCAUCCCGAAUUUGGUUGUUAAACAUUGCAGGGCUGAAACUAGUGAAGGCGGGGGCCUUUGUGAAUCAAUGCUCGUGCCAGGGCA
rnacentral:rRNA from 1 species